UGGGAUUUGAGAAUCUUGUUUUCAGUGUUUUUGAGUUUAUCUGUGGACUUACGGAAACACCAAAAUGCAAGAAAACUGUCAAGAAGUUUUUAGAUGAACUUAUUUAUUUCCUAGUGUUGUACAUGCAAAUCACAGAAGAGCAGGCAAGUGUGGACAUCCAAUCCAAAUCAAUUUGCUGAAGAUGAGGAUGAUGACACCUUUUCGUUUUCUGUUCGCAUUGCAGUUCAAGAUGUUCUCUUGUAUUGCCUUUCAUCAAUGGUCAAGCGUCAUGGGUGGCAAGUCAUCUUACCCCUUAUUGUAGUGCUACAAGCAGUUUAUCUUUGAGCUCUUACCUUGUUAACAUUUCUCAUGUUCAGCUUCAUCAAAGCAUUCAUCAC